rnacentral:tRNA from 1 species
GCCUGAAUGGCUCAGUCAGUUGAGCAUCUGACUUCGGCUCAGGUCAUGAUCUCUCAGUUUGUGGGUUCAAGCCCCACAUUAGGCU